rnacentral:rRNA from 1 species
UGGGGAAUUUUGGACAAUGGGCGAAAGCCUGAUCCAGCAAUGCCGCGUGUGUGAAGAAGGCCUUCGGGUUGUAAAGCACUUUUGUCCGGAAAGAAAUCCUUGGCUCUAAUACAGUCGGGGGAUGACGGUACCGGAAGAAUAAGCACCGGCUAACUACGUGCCAGCAGCCGCGGUAAUACGUAGGGUGCAAACGUUAAUCGGAAUUACUGGGCGUAAAGCGUGCGCAGGCGGUUUGCUAAGACCGAUGUGAAAUCCCCGGGCUCAACCUGGGAACUGCAUUGGUGACUGGCAGGCUAGAGUAUGGCAGAGGGGGGUAGAAUUCCACGUGUAGCAGUGAAAUGCGUAGAGAUGUGGAGGAAUACCGAUGGCGAAGGCAGCCCCCUGGGCCAAAUACUGACGCUCAUGCACGAAAGCGUGGGGAGCAAACAGGAUUAGAUACCCUGGUAGUCCACGCCCUAAACGAUGUCAACUAGUUGUUGGGGAUUCAUUUCCUUAGUAACGUAGCUAACGCGUGAAGUUGACCGCCUGGGGAGUACGGUCGCAAGAUUAAAACUCAAAUGAAUUGAC